rnacentral:misc_RNA from 1 species
GUGAAUCAUCGAAUCUUUGAACGCAAAUUGCACUCUCCGCGGAGAGUAUGCCCGUUUGAGGGCGAGCCUAUUUAAAAUCGUCAUCGUUGCUGUUGCGCGGUGUCUUUCGUUGGACAUUGGGUGAUCUUAAGUCUUUUGGUUUUAAGCGACUGAAAAUUUUCUUUUUGGUUGCAUGAACGUUUCUAAUAUUUAUUUCUUUACACGUUUAACGUAUCGAUUUUUUUUAGACGUGAACAUCAUAUCGGAUCGCGAUCAUAAUCUUUCAGUAACUGACCUCU